rnacentral:rRNA from 1 species
UACGUAGGGCGCGAGCGUUGUCCGGAAUCAUUGGGCGUAAAGAGCUCGUAGGCGGCCUGUUGCGUCCGCUGUGAAAUCCCGGGGCUUAACCCCGGGCGUGCAGUGGAUACGGGCUGGCUGGAGGCAGGCAGGGGAGAACGGAAUUCCCGGUGUAGCGGUGAAAUGCGCAGAUAUCGGGAGGAACACCGGUGGCGAAGGCGGUUCUCUGGGCCUGUACUGACGCUGAGGAGCGAAAGCGUGGGGAGCGAACAGG